GUGAAACCGCGUGCGAUAGAAGUCGAGAGAAGUAGUUAAAAAACGAAAGAGAUAAUAUUCGAAAGACUAGUAACAGCAAUUAGAGUUUCUGCUAUUUGUGGACUGGGUGGAAAACAGGUUUGGAUACGAGCAAUCAAAAUAUUAAAGAAAAUCAUUAAUUAAAAAAUAAUUUGACUUUAUUAUCUUUAAUAAUACUAAUAGAAUAUAUAAAACAAUAUUGAACACAUCAGAAAUAAUGUAGUAACUUAAAAAGUGGAUUAUUUUAUCUAUUCUUUUGACAUAACCUUCAUUUGGUGGCAGAUGGACAGCAGUCUUAACCAUGUUGAGGAUUUUUAAAUAUAUCUAUUUUGGUUUCUAACAUAAGUCUUUUUUAAUAUUUGCGAAUAAUGUACGAAUACGAUGUUCAGUUAUAAUUAUAUAUAUAUAUUAAUAUCAACGUAAGUAAAUCGGUGCAUAUAUCCUUCCUGCUGCAUCAGCACACAUUUCCUCCUUUGACCAAAAAUGAGUAAUACUAACCAAGAAUUCGAUCAAAUACUUUGGUAUUAUACUAGAUAAAAGACUGAUGUGGAAAAAAUAAAAAAGAUUUAUUGGCUCACUAGUAAAGCAUAAUUUUCGAGACCAAGCUUGCUGUCUAUAAAGUUAUCCUAAAACCUAUAUAGACUUAUGGAAUUCAACUAUGGGGAAUCAUUGGUAACUCAAACAUUGAAAUUUUACAGAGAUUCCAAUCAAAAACACUUCAUAAUAUUUGCAAUACCCCUUGAUAUGUAACUAAUAAAAGAAUCCAUAAAGAUCUAAGAAUUUCUACAAUAAAAGAAGAAAUUGCAAA
rnacentral:lncRNA from 1 species